rnacentral:rRNA from 1 species
GAUGAACGCUGGCGGCGUGCCUAAUACAUGCAAGUCGAGCGAACAGACGAGGAGCUUGCUCCUCUGACGUUAGCGGCGGACGGGUGAGUAACACGUGGAUAACCUACCUAUAAGACUGGGAUAACUUCGGGAAACCGGAGCUAAUACCGGAUAAUAUAUUGAACCGCAUGGUUCAAUAGUUAAAGACGGUUUUGCUGUCACUUAUAGAUGAAUCCGCGCCGCAUGAGAUAGUUGGUAAGGUAACGGCUUACCAAGGCAACGAUGCGUAGCCGACCUGAGAGGGUGAUCGGCCACACUGGAACUGAGACACGGUCCAGACUCCUACGGGAGGCAGCAGUAGGGAAUCUUCCGCAAUGGGCGAAAGCCUGACGGAGCAACGCCGCGUGAGUGAUGAAGGUCUUCGGAUCGUAAAACUCUGUUAUUAGGGAAGAACAAAUGUGUAAGUAACUAUGCACGUCUUGACGGUACCUAAUCAGAAAGCCACGGCUAACUACGUG